GGAUGCGAUCAUACCAGCACUAAAGCACCGGAUCCCAUCAGAACUCCGUAGUUAAGCGUGCUUGGGCGAGAGUAGUACUAGGAUGGGUGACCUCCUGGGAAGUCCUCGUGUUGCACUCC
rnacentral:rRNA from 2 species